rnacentral:rRNA from 1 species
CAAUAGCGUAUAUUUAAGUUGCUGCAGUUAAAAAGCUCGUAGUUGGAUUUCGGGUGGGGCCUGCCGGUCCGCCGUUUCGGUGUGCACUGGUCGGGCCCACCUUGGUGCCGGGGACGGGCUCCUGGGCUUUACUGUCCGGGACCCGGAGUCGGCGAGGUUACUUUGAGUAAAUUAGAGUGUUCAAAGCAGGCCUACGCUCUGAAUACAUUAGCAUGGAAUAACACGAUAGGACUCUGGCCUAUCCUGUUGGUCUGUAGGACCGGAGUAAUGAUUAAGAGGGACAGUCGGGGGCAUUCGUAUUUCAUUGUCAGAGGUG